AUUGAACGCUGGCGGCAGGCCUAACACAUGCAAGUCGAAUGGUAACAGGAAACAGCUUGCUGUUUCGCUGACGAGUGGCGGACGGGUGAGUAAUGUCUGGGAAACUGCCUGAUGGAGGGGGAUAACUACUGGAAACGGUAGCUAAUACCGCAUAACGUCGCAAGACCAAAGAGGGGGACCUUCGGGCCUCUUGCCAUCAGAUGUGCCCAGAUGGGAUUAGCUAGUAGGUGGGGUAACGGCUCACCUAGGCGACGAUCCCUAGCUGGUCUGAGAGGAUGACCAGCCACACUGGAACUGAGACACGGUCCAGACUCCUACGGGAGGCAGCAGUGGGGAAUAUUGCACAAUGGGCGCAAGCCUGAUGCAGCCACGCCGCGUGUAUGAAGAAGGCCUUCGGGUUGUAAAGUACUUUCAGCGGGGAGGAAGGGAGUAAAGUUAAUACCUUUGCUCAUUGACGUUACCCGCAGAAGAAGCACCGGCUAACUCCGUG
rnacentral:rRNA from 1 species